rnacentral:pre_miRNA from 1 species
GAUUUGUACCGGUUCACAGCUAAGUUAUAUCCUCAACUACUUUGAGUCGGUACGAAUCAU